GGCGGGCUGCGCGGCCUUAACCCCCGAGGCGCCGGCACAUGCAGUUAACCCAGAGUAGGAAAAAAAAAAAAAAACCGUAUCAGUGCUUCCUCCCACCCUCGGCGGCGAUGAUCACACGUGCAAUUUCUUCAGCCCCCAAACGCAGAGCAUGGAAUCUGUCCUGGGUCCUUUUAUUUUCUGAGAAGCUUUAAUCCAAACCUUAAAAAAAAAAAAUAAUCAUUCCAAAUUUGGUCUUGAGCAUGAUGUCUUCAGUACAAGGUUCCCUUUCCUGUGCUUUAUGCUGUUUAAGGACAGUAGCGUUCCUGGGAGUGAAGUGCGGAGGCUUCGCAUGCAUGCAUGCCGGUGUGAUGUGUGUGUGUGUGUGUGUGUGUGUGUGUGUGUGUGUGUGUGUGUGUACGCGCAUACGCGCGCCCGCGCUUUAUUUUUGGCGCAUGCACACCCCACGGUAGCCUCAAGGUCGGCGACAACCCUGAUCGGUCGGGGUCCCCCGCCCAUCAGUGCUCUCCCGCCCGCCAAGGACGCGGGAAGGAGGAAGUCCCCCAGUGGCGGCGGGGCAUCUUGGGGCGCCCGCGCAAUUUCAGCAUUGUCGUGCUGGAGUGGGGACAAGCAGGCAGAAGCCGGUCCCCAAAGGUGUGGACUUGGACCUUUCCGAGUGGGCAGCCGGGGCCUGGCUGGUCCCAGCCGCGCCCCCGGCUUGCUGCCCACCCCCAGGGCCUCCCUGCAGCCCCUUGGCAUCCUCUCUGGGAGCUGUCACGGAAUUUGGCUCUGAGAGGCAGCUGGUCCUGGCCAGGAUCCCUGGUCCAUCUCAAAUGGAAACAGUUCCUCCUGAGGAAUCGGCCGGGAAUCUCAGUGGAAAUGCACUGGGGCAGGGCCCCCUGGCGUGUUUAACCAAGGCCAAGCUUACCACUUUGAGGCAAGGGAUGCUUCAAAUGGAGCGGGAUUCCUGGUUACAGACUGAGAUUCUUGCAGAGAGAAUUACAAGAGGAUGGACUCCAACAAGGGAAAAGGGGCGUCCAAGCAAUGGAGUGGUCUGUAGGCAAUAGUGGUCUGGAGGAAGAGGGAAACCGGAGAAGCUGGCGGUCUGCGGUGGCUGAGCUGCCCCCAGACCCUGGAACAAGGCUCGUCUGCACCACCAAGGUAGCCCUCGGCCCUACCCACUCAGGCUGCUGGACCGCCUGAGCGCCCCAGCCCCGGACCCGGCGGCCAGGGGCGCCAGCCCCUCAUGUUCCGGAGAACGCGCAAAUGUGAGCGGGCGCUAGUGGGGAAAGCCCUCCGCCCCCGCCAGGGGGACCCGGGAAACCCGAGCGGGCUCCUCCCCGGACGCCGGGGAUCCCCUCCUCCGGCCCCGCCCCCUCCUCCCCCUGCC